rnacentral:rRNA from 1 species
UACGUAGGGGGCAAGCGUUGUCCGGAUUUAUUGGGCGUAAAGAGCGUGUAGGCGGCUGGGUAGGUCCGUUGUGAAAACUCGAGGCUCAACCUCGAGACGCCGAUGGAAACCCUCCAGCUAGAGUCCGGAAGAGGAGAGUGGAAUUCCUGGUGUAGCGGUGAAAUGCGCAGAUAUCAGGAGGAACACCGGUGGCGAAGGCGGGUCUCUGGGCCGAUACUGACGCUGAGGAGCGAAAGCGUGGGGAGCGAACAGG